AACCUCGCCCCAUAGUCUGGGAUACCACUUGGAAACAGGUGCUAAUACCGGAUAAGAAAGCAGAUCGCAUGAUCAGCUUUUAAAAGGCGGCGUAAGCUGUCGCUAUGGGAUGGCCCCGCGGUGCAUUAGCUAGUUGGUAAGGUAAAGGCUUACCAAGGCGAUGAUGCAUAGCCGAGUUGAGAGACUGAUCGGCCACAUUGGGACUGAGACACGGCCCAAACUCCUACGGGAGGCAGCAGGC
rnacentral:rRNA from 1 species